rnacentral:lncRNA from 1 species
GGGUUGAGAGUGAAAUUGGUCAGUGGGGAGAGUCUGAGCAAGUGUAUUUAGACCUGUUAGAACCUUUAAAUCCUCCUAUAAUGUGUCAAAAGUAGGAAAAUGAAUUUUUGGNCAUUUAGAUGUGAUUAUGCAGAAUUUGGGGUGAAAGCUGAUAAGAGAUUCUUUAGGAUGAUGUUAGAAAGGUUUAGGUAUCCUUGGAUAGGUGUAAAUAUGAGUAUGAUGCAAGUUUGGAAGAUUGAAAGUUGGAAAAAAGAGUAGGAAUUGGUAAAAUAGGUGUUGUUCAUAAUUCUGCAGUUGAUCUGCAGAAUUAUGCAGUUUGCGGAAUGUCAGUCUUUGGCCGCUCGGCCUUUCUCCUGUGUUCGGUCGUAAUUGAGUUCUGUUUCUGUGGAGCUUUCAGUUAAUGACCGAAUGAUCUUACACUAGUACUCGGUCUAGUAUUGGUGUUCGGUCUUAACUACGUUCGGCCUCUGUAGAGCCUUAUUAGUUAAUGACUNUUCGGUCUCACUCNAAUGUUCGGUCUUAACUACGUUCGGCCUUUGUAGAGCCUUACUAGUUAAUGACUGUUUGGUCUC